rnacentral:rRNA from 1 species
CACGUAGGAGGCAAACGUUAUCCGGAUUUACUGGGCGUAAAGCGCGUGUAGGUGGUUCUGUAAGUAGGGCGUGAAAGCUCCCGGCUCAACUGGGAGAGGCCGUUCUAAACUGCAGAGCUAGAGGAUGGUAGAGGGAGGUGGAAUUCCAGGUGUAGCGGUGGAAUGCGCAGAUAUCUGGAGGAACACCAGUGGCGAAGGCGGCCUCCUGGUCUGUAACUGACACUGAGGCACGAAAGCGUGGGGAGCAAACAGGAUUAGAUACCCCUGUAGU